UUAAAUUUGGUGACGAGAACGAGUAGGUAUGUAAUCUGUUCUACAGAGAGUUGACGUUUGGUGCAAGUCAAUGUUCAGACCAUAUUGAAUAUCCUCUCCGAAAAGCAAAGCUGAAAGAAUUUUAAGCUUUGACGGGAUUCCGCCGUUAAAAGGAACGCGUAUGAUUGUACGUUGAAUGAGUGCUAUGAAUGUAACUUAUAAGUUUAUUUAUAGAAUCUGGGUGGUAUCGCGGGUUAAAACUCGUCCCUAAC
rnacentral:ncRNA from 1 species